rnacentral:lncRNA from 1 species
AAAAUUUUUGAAGGAAUAUUUUUUUUAAAGAAAGAGAGGAAUACAGGCAGACGGAGAUAACAAUAUUUGCUAAAACUAUAUAUAUAAGUUCAUUUGCUAACCCUAAGCCGCCUCAAACCAACGAAGAGAGAUGCUGAGCGGCGGCAAUAGCAGAGAUGCAGAAGAAGAGAAUGAUGAAGAUGGUGAUCGCAAUCAGGUUAGGUUCUUAAAUGUUCUAUUAUCAAGUUCUCUUGGUCAGGGUUUACCAUUUUUUAGGGUUUUAGAUUUUAUUUUAGAUCUAGUUUCAAAUUUUGUGUUUACCUCCUGCAAUUCUGGGAGUUGUUUAUACGUUUCAGAUAAUUGGUGGAGUUUAUCUGUUGUACAAGGGGGGCUAGGAAGAGUUUUGAUCACAUGUAUAAUUAUUUUUAUGGUCUCUCAUUUCAAAUAGAUGCUAAUCUUUUGGCUCGUAAACAUUUCUUGUAAUUAAAUCCUCAUUCCAAGCCGUUUAGAAUGUGCUGUCCAUUUUGAGAGUAUAUAACUAUUCUCUAUUUAUAUAAAAGAAAGUUGUAUUUAUAUUUGUUUUACAAAUAUAUAUUAUACAAAUGGACAGCUCAAUUUGAAACAACUCGGAUCCAAAUGCCCAAUAACUAUACCGUUUUGAGGGUUCGAUCCACUCGGUAGCUUUUUGUUUAUUUUGAUAUAGUACUUUCAAAACACAAAAGGCUUUAGUUUUUAAAAGCAAGUAACCUACUUUUUUAUUUUUUUAGUUUUUUAAAACAAGUAACCAACUUUUAUUUUGUUUAAGUUACAUUUGGGUUUUUCAUCUUCCUUGUUUUCAGUUUGGAGAAAAAAGCUAUUAGAAAGGGUAUUGAAACACAACAUUGGCACACACUUUUUGAUUACUUAUACUAAAAUAAUAUGGUAUUUGUUUAUCAAACAGGCUCACUUAAUUAAAUCGAUCGUUGUUCAUGACAUUUCAGUUACAUAUCGAAAUUAUUCAGCAGCAGGGGAGAGAUGAGUUGCUAGUUUUACUUGAAAUAAAUACUAGCAAUUGAUCUCACUUGCUUCACGCGUAAUUGAAUGUUCGUAAUAGAAUGUAGGCCAAGUAUAUUUUCAUUAAUGACUUGGAUAAUUAAUUAAUCAUCUUCUGAACGGAAUUACUCCAGAAUUAAUUGAUUAAUUACAUUUGUUGUUUCUAAAAACCGAAAAUAUUACUCUUUUUUGUAUGUUUAUUUUUUUAGGGUGAUGCUAGGGGCUUUAAAUUUUUGGUCUAAAAAAAUGUCUCAAAUGAUGUGUCACCGUAAUAUUGGUUGGAUAGAUCUUGUGUGAUUGUCUAUGCCAUAAAUUGUCAUUCAAAUAUUUAAUGUCAUGUCAUUUGAUGAGACUCAUUUAACAUAGAAAAUUUUGAAAAUCUUGGCAUUACUUAUUUUUUUAAGAUCCUCAUUUUCUAUAACAAACCAAUUUACUUAGAAAUAUAGAAGUAGCUAGUAAGAACAAAUGAUUUCAAUUAAUGAUGAGGAUAGCCCAUUCCUUAGCUUAUCUGCAUUGAAAAUUGAUAGAUCUUUUUGCAACAAUUGUUAAAUAAAAUCUAUCUUUAUAUAUAUAUAUAUAUAUAUAUAUAUAUAUAUAUGUAUAUUUUAUCUAUCUAUCUUGCAGGCUACACCGAGUCAACAAAGCAAAUUAGAGAAAGAUGCAAGUAGAUGCCCUUACCAAUGAUGAAGUCAAAAGCCAUCUACAGACCUUUUUAAAUGAAAACUUUGCAAUUUAUAGAAGUACAGACUUCAUAUAAUAAAACCUUGCAAUUAAUCUCAUUUUAGGUUCAAUUGAAUGUUGCAAAAUUAAAGUUCGUUAACUUAUGGGAAAAAUGUAAUGACAGAGAAUAUCCCCAAUGCAUCUAUUGAGGCAGCGUCCUCUUUUGGUCCAGAGGAUAAUAAAUGCCUCUUUUAAUUCUUUCCUGAAAAUUAGAUAUUGAAAUGUUUUGUGUACUAACUGUAAUAUCCCAAAUAUGUAUAAUGAAAAUAUGUAAUAUUUCUUUUAAUGAAAAUUAGAUAAUGAAGAGUUUUGUGUACUAAUUGUAAUAUCCCGGAUAUUUAUAAAUGCUUCUUUUUGUUUAUUUUGAUAUAGUACUUGCAAAACACAAAAGGCUUUAGUUUUUAAAAGCAUGAACC